GUUCAUUGUAUAUUGCAGCUAAGGAACAAAGUGAUUUUUGCUUCUUUACAUAUUUGUAUAAUGUCAGCAUAGCAGCUUAGAGAAGGAUAGAAAUGUGCCUUACUUGUUUUUGACAGGGCUGUUCACCAGUCAGGAAUUCAAAGUGAAUUUUCAAUCGUAAACCAAAGUAGGCAAACAAAGCAUAUCCGACUUGGAGAAAUUUCAAAUUCGGCUAUUUUGACCUUUAAAUUUGAAAGUCUUAAAAUUUCUGACAAUUCUCACUUUAGUGAAUAAACCAGUGAGCCUUAAAGGGACACUAGUCACCAGAACCACUACAGUUUAUUGGAAGUGUUCUGGUGAGUAGAAUCAUUCCCUUCAGGCUUUUUGCUGUAAA